rnacentral:rRNA from 1 species
CCUACGGGAUGCAGCAGUGAGGCAUAUUGGUCAAUGGCCGGAAGGCUGAACCAGCCAAGCCGCGUGAAGGACGAAGGUGCCAAGCAUUGUAAACUUCUUUUGUCAAGGGACAAAAUCAGGCUCGAGAGCCUGACCGAUGGUACUUGAAGAAAAAGCAUCGGCUAACUCCGUUCCAGCAGCCGCGGUAAUACGGAGGAUGCGAGCUUUAUCCGGAUUUACUGGGUGUAAAGGGCGUGUAGGCGGGAAAGCAAGUCAGAUGUGAAAACCAUGGGCUCAACCUGUGGUCUGCAUUUGAAACUGUUUUUCUUGAGUACUGGAGAGGCAGACGGAAUUCCUAGUGUAGCGGUGAAAUGCGUAGAUAUUAGGAGGAACACCAGUGGCGAAGGCGGUCUGCUGGACAGCAACUGACGCUGAGGCGCGAAAGCGUGGGGAGCAAACAGGAUUAGAUACCCGAGUAGUC